AUUGAACGCUGGCGGAAUGCUUUACACAUGCAAGUCGAACGGCAGCACGGGAUCUUGCUCCUGGUGGCGAGUGGCGAACGGGUGAGUAAUGCAUCGGAACGUACCUAUGAGUGGGGGAUAACUAUCCGAAUGGAUAGCUAAUACCGCAUACGGCCGGAGGGAGAAAGCGGGGGAUCGCAAGACCUCGCGCUAAUAGAGCGGCCGAUGUUGGAUUAGCUAGUUGGUGGGGUAAAGGCCUACCAAGGCGACGAUCCAUAGCUGGUCUGAGAGGAUGAUCAGCCACACUGGGACUGAGACACGGCCCAGACUCCUACGGGAGGCAGCAGUGGGGAAUUUUGGACAAUGGGGGCAACCCUGAUCCAGCCAUUCCGCGUGAGUGAAGAAGGCCUUCGGGUUGUAAAGCUCUUUCGGCAGGAACGAAACGGUGGUUACUAAUACUAGCUACUAAUGACGGUACCUGAAGAAGAAGCACCGGCUAACUACGUGCCAGCCGCCGCAGUAA
rnacentral:rRNA from 1 species